GGGCGAGAAAGGCAAACUCGUGGAAACAUAAGGCUGCAAAACUGUAGGGCUUAAGGUCAAGAGAAGGCGAAGCUAGUCAGUUACCGAA
rfam:Bacillus cereus subsp. cytotoxis NVH 391-98, complete genome.